rnacentral:piRNA from 1 species
UUGGAAAGAAGAGCAUGUGAUAAG